CUCGUGGGCUGCACCUACCUGAUGAGCCCCAAGAAGGGCGAAACCGGUC
rnacentral:hammerhead_ribozyme from 11 species